GCCUACGGGAGGCAGCAGUAAGGAAUAUUGCGCAAUGGGCGAAAGCCUGACGCAGCGACGCCGCGUGGGGGAUGAAGGUCUUCGGAUUGUAAACCCCUUUCGGGAGGGAAGAUGGGAUGGGGUAACCCAUUCGGACGGUACCUCCAGAAGCAGCCACGGCUAACUUCGUGCCAGCAGCCGCGGUAA
rnacentral:rRNA from 1 species